AUCCAUGAACACGAAAAGCUUCGAAACACUAGUUAAAUUGAAAGAAAGCACCACCAGUGACAGUUUCGAUCUGUUCAGUGGAGUAUUCAUCCAUAAGAGGUUUGCUCCGCAAAAGUUGAAGAACCUAGAGCAUUCUUUCGAAAUGUCAAGCAGAGGCUGCUAAAGAGGAUGACUGAGGAACGAAAUCUCAGCAAGGUCUGACCAUGCCAUGGUCUCUCGCUAACAAAAACGUUAUAGUAAUUUAU